GACGGAGGGCGCGAGCGUUGUUCGGAAUCACUGGGCGUAAAGCGCGCGCAGGCGGGAGGGCAAGUCGGAAGUGAAAUCCCGGGGCUCAACUCCGGGACUGCUUCCGAAACUGCCGACCUGGAGACCGGUAGAGGUGGGUGGAAUUCCCGGUGUAGCGGUGGAAUGCGUAGAGAUCGGGAAGAACACCUGUGGCGAAGGCGGCCCACUGGGCCGGUUCUGACGCUGAGGCGCGAAAGCGUGGGGAGCAAACAGGAUUAGAAACCCCCGUAGUCC
rnacentral:rRNA from 1 species